GAUUAAGUUAUUAAGGGCGCACGGUGGAUGCCUUGGCACUAGAAGCCGAUGAAGGACGUUACUAACGACGAUAUGCUUUGGGGAGCUGUAAGUAAGCGUUGAUCCAGAGAUUUCCGAAUGGGGAAACCCAGCAUGAGUUAUGUCAUGUUAUCGAUAUGUGAAUACAUAGCAUAUCAGAAGGCAGACCCGGAGAACUGAAACAUCUUAGUACCCGGAGGAAGAGAAAGAAAAAUCGAUUCCCUGAGUAGCGGCGAGCGAAACGGGAAGAGCCCAAACCAACAAGCUUGCUUGUUGGGGUUGUAGGACACUCUAUACGGAGUUACAAAAGUAUAUAUUAGACGAAUCAUCUGGAAAGUUGAAUCAAAGAAGGUAAUAAUCCUGUAGUCGAAAAUAUAUACUCUCUUGAGUGGAUCCUGAGUACGACGGAGCACGUGAAAUUCCGUCGGAAUCUGGGAGGACCAUCUCCUAAGGCUAAAUACUCUCUAGUGACCGAUAGUGAACCAGUACCGUGAGGGAAAGGUGAAAAGUACCCCGGAAGGGGAGUGAAAGAGAACUUGAAACCGUGUGCUUACAAGUAGUCAGAGCCCGUUAAUGGGUGAUGGCGUGCCUUUUGUAGAAUGAACCGGCGAGUUACGAUUUGAUGCAAGGUUAAGCAGCUAAUGUGGAGCCGUAGCGAAAGCGAGUCUGAAUAGGGCGUUUAGUAUUUGGUCGUAGACCCGAAACCAGGUGAUCUACCCUUGGUCAGGUUGAAGUUCAGGUAACACUGAAUGGAGGACCGAACCGACUUACGUUGAAAAGUGAGCGGAUGAACUGAGGGUAGCGGAGAAAUUCCAAUCGAACUUGGAGAUAGCUGGUUCUCUCCGAAAUAGCUUUAGGGCUAGCCUCAAGUGAUGAUUAUUGGAGGUAGAGCACUGUUUGGACGAGGGGCCCUUCUCGGGUUACCGAAUUCAGACAAACUCCGAAUGCCAAUUAAUUUAACUUGGGAGUCAGAACAUGGGUGAUAAGGUCCGUGUUCGAAAGGGAAACAGCCCAGACCACCAGCUAAGGUCCCAAAAUAUAUGUUAAGUGGAAAAGGAUGUGGCGUUGCCCAGACAACUAGGAUGUUGGCUUAGAAGCAGCCAUCAUUUAAAGAGUGCGUAAUAGCUCACUAGUCGAGUGACACUGCGCCGAAAAUGUACCGGGGCUAAACAUAUUACCGAAGCUGUGGAUUGUCCGUAGGACAAUGGUAGGAGAGCGUUCUAAGAGCGUCGAAGCAUGAUCGCAAGGACAUGUGGAGCGCUUAGAAGUGAGAAUGCCGGUGUGAGUAGCGAAAGACGGGUGAGAAUCCCGUCCACCGAUUGACUAAGGUUUCCAGAGGAAGGCUCGUCCGCUCUGGGUUAGUCGGGUCCUAAGCUGAGGCCGACAGGCGUAGGCGAUGGAUAACAGGUUGAUAUUCCUGUACCACCUAGUAUCGUUUUAAUCGAUGGGGGGACGCAGUAGGAUAGGCGAAGCGUGCUAUUGGAUUGCACGUCCAAGCAGUAAGACUGAGUGUUAGGCAAAUCCGGCACUCAUAAGGUCAAGCUGUGAUGGGGAGAGGAAAUUGUUUCCUCGAGUCGUUGAUUUCACACUGCCAAGAAAAGCCUCUAGAUAGAUAACAGGUGCCCGUACCGCAAACCGACACAGGUAGUCAAGAUGAGAAUUCUAAGGUGAGCGAGCGAACUCUCGUUAAGGAACUCGGCAAAAUGACCCCGUAACUUCGGGAGAAGGGGUGCUCUUUAGGGUUAACGCCCAGAAGAGCCGCAGUGAAUAGGCCCAAGCGACUGUUUAUCAAAAACACAGGUCUCUGCUAAACCGUAAGGUGAUGUAUAGGGGCUGACGCCUGCCCGGUGCUGGAAGGUUAAGAGGAGUAGUUAGCUUCUGCGAAGCUACGAAUCGAAGCCCCAGUAAACGGCGGCCGUAACUAUAACGGUCCUAAGGUAGCGAAAUUCCUUGUCGGGUAAGUUCCGACCCGCACGAAAGGCGUAACGAUUUGGGCACUGUCUCAACGAGAGACUCGGUGAAAUCAUAGUACCUGUGAAGAUGCAGGUUACCCGCGACAGGACGGAAAGACCCCGUGGAGCUUUACUGUAGCCUGAUAUUGAAAUUCGGCACAGCUUGUACAGGAUAGGUAGGAGCCUUUGAAACGUGAGCGCUAGCUUACGUGGAGGCAUUGGUGGGAUACUACCCUAGCUGUGUUGGCUUUCUAACCCGCACCACUUAUCGUGGUGGGAGACAGUGUCAGGUGGGCAGUUUGACUGGGGCGGUCGCCUCCUAAAAGGUAACGGAGGCGCUCAAAGGUUCCCUCAGAAUGGUUGGAAAUCAUUCAUAGAGUGUAAAGGCAUAAGGGAGCUUGACUGCGAGACUUACAAGUCGAGCAGGGUCGAAAGACGGACUUAGUGAUCCGGUGGUUCCGCAUGGAAGGGCCAUCGCUCAACGGAUAAAAGCUACCCCGGGGAUAACAGGCUUAUCUCCCCCAAGAGUUCACAUCGACGGGGAGGUUUGGCACCUCGAUGUCGGCUCAUCGCAUCCUGGGGCUGUAGUCGGUCCCAAGGGUUGGGCUGUUCGCCCAUUAAAGCGGUACGCGAGCUGGGUUCAGAACGUCGUGAGACAGUUCGGUCCCUAUCCGUCGUGGGCGUAGGAAAUUUGAGAGGAGCUGUCCUUAGUACGAGAGGACCGGGAUGGACAUACCUCUGGUGUACCAGUUGUCGUGCCAACGGCAUAGCUGGGUAGCUAUGUAUGGACGGGAUAAGUGCUGAAAGCAUCUAAGCAUGAAGCCCCCCUCAAGAUGAGAUUUCCCAACUUCGGUUAUAAGAUCCCUCAAAGAUGAUGAGGUUAAUAGGUUCGAGGUGGAAGCGUGGUGACACGUGGAGCUGACGAAUACUAAUCGAUCGAAGACUUAAUCAA
rnacentral:rRNA from 1 species